AUACGUAGGGGGCGAGCGUUGUCCGGAAUGACUGGGCGUAAAGGGCGUGUAGGCGGCGGUGUAAGUCUGGAGUGAAAGUCCCGCAUUCAAUGUGGGAAUUGCUUUGGAUACUGCAGUGCUAGAGUGCGGAAGAGGUAAGUGGAAUUCCCAGUGUAGCGGUGAAAUGCGUAGAUAUCACGAGGAACUCCGAUUGCGCAGGCAGCUUACUAAACUACUACUGACGCUCAGGCACGAAGGCGUGGGGAUCAAACAGGAUUAGAUACCCUGGUAGUCCACGCAGUAAACGAUGAUUACUAGCUGUUUGCGAUACAAUGUAAGCGGCUGAGCGAAAGCGUUAAGUAUUCCGCCUGGGGAGUACGGCCGCAAGGUUGAAACUCAAAUGAAUUGACGGGG
rnacentral:rRNA from 1 species